rnacentral:rRNA from 1 species
GAUGAACGCUAGCGAUAGGCUUAACACAUGCAAGUCGAGGGGCAGCACAAGGUAGCUUGCUCUCUGGGUGGCGACCGGCGCACGGGUGCGUAACGCGUAUGCAACUUGCCCUAUACAGGAGGAUAACCCGUCGAAAGACGGACUAAUACUGCGUAUGCUCACAACUUGGCAUCAAGUGGUGAGGAAAGAAAUUCGGUAUAGGAUAGGCAUGCGUCCCAUUAGCUUGUUGGUGAGGUAACGGCUCACCAAGGCAACGAUGGGUAGGGGAACUGAGAGGUUUAUCCCCCACACUGGUACUGAGACACGGACCAGACUCCUACGGGAGGCAGCAGUGAGGAAUAUUAGUCAAUGGGCGCGAGCCUGAGCCAGCCACGUCGCGUGAAGGAUGACUGUCUUAUGGAUUGUAAUCUUCUUUUAUACGGGAAUAGCAAGAGUCACGUGUGACUCCCUGAAUGUACCGUAUGAAUAAGCAUCGGCUAACUACGUG